rnacentral:piRNA from 1 species
AAGAAGCUCUAUGACAUUGAUGUGGCC